GACGAACGCUGGCGGCGUGCCUAAUACAUGCAAGUAGGACGCAGUUGCGAACGGGUGAGUAACGCGUAGGUAACUACCUAUUAGCGGGGGAUAAAUAUUGGAAACGCUAGCUACUACCGCAUACUAGUAGAUGGACCUGCGUUGUAUUAGCUAGUAGGUAGGGUAAUGGGCUACCUAGGCAACGAUACAUAGCCGACCUGGGGGGGGUAACGGCUAAACGUGGAAUGAGACACGGCCCAGACUCCCACGGGAGGGAGCAGUAGGGAAACUUCGGCAAUUGGGCGAACCCUGGCCGAGCAACUCCGCGGGGGGGAAGAAGGGUUUCGGAUCGUAAAGCUCUUUUGAUAAGGGAGCGGUACUUAACCAGAAAGGGACGGCUAACUACGUGCCAGCAGCCGCGGUAAUAC
rnacentral:rRNA from 1 species